ACCUCUCCAAAGCUCAGUAGUCUCCCAAGCUUGUGAAGAACCAUCAAGCUGCCAAAUAGCCGGUCUCUUCAUCUCACCAACUUCAGACAAACAAGGGAAAUCACCUGCAAGCUCAGAAGUUGUCAAACUCGCGGAAAAUCAACAAGCACCAAGCAAACGUGCCGAUUCAUCCGCCAUCAAAGCCAUACUCGCCACAUGACACUUCUCGUGGUUCAAAUCCUAUCAAGAUCAAGUCUCUGCAGCCCUUGAUCAUCCAUCGUCUUCAAGUCGUCAACAAAACAAAGCUUCUACCAAGUUCUUCAUCAAGCUUGUGGAGAAUCAACAAGCACCAAGCACAUGUGCUGAUUCAUCUGCCAUCAAAGCUAAAGAACACUCACCACGUGAUAUCGCUCGUUGUUCAAAUCCGAUCAAGAGCAAGCCUCUGCAUCCCUUGAUCUAGGGUUGGGAUUUAGAACCGUAAAACCGGAGGAACCGCACCAAACCACACCGAAAGUGUCGGUUCGGUUUGGUUCUACGACAUAUGUGUUAGCAUUUUUCUUGGUUUGGUCCCUUGUAGUGUCUACUCGGUUAGGUUCCUGUGCUUGAUUUAAAAACCUCCUUGCAACCGAAAUACAGAUGUCAGUGUAUAAUUGGAUGAUAAGGCCAAGCUUAUUUUUGUAAAAUAGACCCUUUCUCAUGUGAUCAGCCACUUCCAAAUGCGAUCAGAACCUUCCAUCUUAUCUCAUAAUCUCCUAUCCAUUCGAUCAAAACCCUAAAAAUUAUCUCUUCCCAAGUUCCCUCAAACUCUCAUUCUCUCACAGUCUCAGUCUCCAUCCUAGACGACUCUCACUCUCUCACUCUCUCAACAAUCCUAUGAUCAAAACCCAGACGAGCGAGACGACCUCCCUCAAAGUCUGGAACCCAGAAACAUGCAUGAUUUAGUAGAUCCUCUGCGUUUUCGAUUUGUGUUUGCCAUGGCUCAAGCCUCAAUAUAAGCUUUGUGUUGGCCAUUGCGUCUUCCAUCCGUCUUCGAUUUGUGUUGGCCAUGGCGUCUUCGAUCCGUCUUCGAUUUGUGUUGGCCAUUGCGAUCCGUCUUCGAUUUGUGUUGGCCAUGGCUCAAUGCCUCAAUUCCUACAGUGGCUGCAUAAAGAUUUAGUAUUGAUGGAAGGCUGGAAGCCUUGUUGCAUUGAGGGAGAGGAAGCCAUGCUGGAAAUAUGUUUGCAGUUGUGCACUGAUGAAAUAUUGAUGAACUAUUUCAACCUUAGGUUAUUUGUUCAGUUUGAGACUUUGAAUUGC